UAUUUAUUUUUUAUAUUUCACAUAAAAUUGUAUAUUUUCCGAAGCUGCUUAAGUGCAAGCAAUGAGAAUCGCGGAGAAAGGCAGUUAUUUUAGUAUUCACUUGGUAUUAUUUUUGUAGUUAAUUUAGUAUUUAUUUUUUAUAUUUCACAUAAAAUGUUAUAUUUUCCGAAGCUGCUUAAGUGCAAGCAAUGAGAAUCGCGGAGAAGGGCAGUUAUUUUAGUAUUCACUUGGUAUUAUUUUUGUUGUUAAUUUAGUAUUUAUUUUUUAUAUUUCACAUAAAAUUUUAUUUUUUGCGCAGCUGCUUAAGUGCGAACAAUGAGAAUCGCGGAGGAGGGCAUGUAAUUUUGCAUUUAAUCAAUUUUAUUUUUUUAGGUAAUUUAUUAUUUUGUUGAAUACUUGGCAUAUGUAAUUGAUUAUUUAUCAUAUAAAUUAUUAAUAAUAUAUUGUGCACAUGCGAUCUAAAAGCCUUGUUUUCAUUUUUUUUUAUGUUAUAUGGUUUACAAUAUUGUAAACAAACUUUGUGAAAAACAAUGAGCCUUGGUAUCAUUAAAAUAUUAUCAUAUUUUACACGAUUCAAUUGUCUUAUUGGCAACAGCUGGCAGUAAAACAAAAUUCGAACUUUUUUUUGGCACCCCGACAAUGAAAUAAUGAGUGCUACACUACCUACCCCAAGCCAAUCCGCGAAUUGCCAGUUCCCAGCGCCCAGUUUCCAGUUCCUCGCUUUUUAGCCGAGUUGCUAAGCAACAGGUAGGCCCACAAUUUGGCCAAAGAAAAAACGAGACCGAGUGAUGCUCUCUCUUUGGCCAAAUAGGAAAUCGGCCCAGAUGAAAAGCAGUCAGCCAGCCAGCCAGCCGAACCUUCAGAUUCGCUUUCGUUUGCUGCGUCACAAGGGAAAUUCCGUGCGCCCAGAGAAUUUCCCAGAGCCCCGAUAGAAAAUCUCGCAUGCGAGAUGGUCGGAAAAGCGGGAAAAUCGGUGCCCGCUCUCCUUUCGCCGCGCUUCGACUCACUUCGUUUCGCUUCUCGCUUUUCGGCAUCGUCCAUCGCAUUUUCUGAUUCUGAUUUCAGUUCUCGUUCAGCUUUGCCGACGACACGACGUGCUUCACUAGCGAAAAGAAAAACUAGAAUAAACUGGGGAAAAUCUGGGAAAAUUACUCGUCGUCUUGUGAAUUGGCGCGGGCCAAGAAAAGCUAUCUUACAAAAAAAAAACAUUUUCAAAGUUAUAAUAAAAAAAAAAAGAGAUAAAGAACAAUUUCUGUUAUGCACUGAGAGAAACAAUGCUAAGAGCGAAUAAGUAAGCAGAGAAAACGAAAAAUAACAAAGGAAAUCUAUAGAAAAAUACUUAAAUAUAUACAGAUCCAUAAACAAACUGAUUUAUAUAUAUUUGAGUCGGACGUUUGAUUGAUUUGUGGCAACUAUCAAACAACAAACCAACAAAACAAAAAACAAAACAAAAAUACCAACAGCAGCAAGUCAGCAAAAACAACAA